ensembl:lncRNA
AUGCUAGUAUUUCGUACCUCUUUUCUUCUCCGUCUUGCCCCUCUCCCUUCCCUCUCCCCAGUGGUAACCACCUGUGAGUGUUUCCAUUUUGUUAAAUUCACUCAUCUGCUUGGUUCUUGCAGAUCCCAUAUAUGUGAUAACACACACUGUUUGUCUUUCUCUGACUAUAGUGCUCAUUUUCUUUAUAUCAGACAAUCUUGCUUCUUUCUCUUCUCCAGUUUCCUAAAACUAUCUAAUUUUAAUCUUCUCCAAUUCUGCUUUAAAAUUUCCCACAUUUCUCUCUCUUUAUUUUUCAUGUUUCCACUGUAAGACUAAAGGUCACAUUACCCUUGUGUUUUUAUUGCUAGCAAUAUUAUUACAUUUUAGCAUUUUUUUACUUGCUAUUUGAAAACUUCUAAUAGAAAAAAUAAUAAUAAAAUUGUAAAUGGACCCAUGAGCCUCAAAUCCCUUUCUGUUAUAUUCAGUGUCUCUUAUGCCUAUGGUUAUUGUAUAUAGGAGUAUUAAAUAUACAGGAUAAAAUGAAAAGUGAUAGAGCCAGGUUUUUAAUUUUUUUUAAUUUUUGUUUCAGUGUUGGGUGCAUUUAUGGAAAGGACAGAAUAAAACAUCUGUCAGAAGCAAUUUGUAUGUCAAUUAAAAUGGAACUCAGAAGGACGAUAAAUGUAUCUUACACAUAACAUUUUCUGUUUUCAUUUAUUUUGUUGUUAUGCCUUUCAAAAGAGCAACUUAGGAUGUUGGGAAAAGCAAUUGAGAAAGCGUAUAAUUUGGAUUAAAAUGAGGAUAGAUGACUUUGCAAGAAUGAAAACAAAGGUGUCUCUUUUAUGCAUUAUUUCCGUUUCACACAUCUAAUCAAAAUCUGGGCAGUGUGAGAGCACUGCCCCUUGGGAAUAGGAGCCUCAGGCCAGGAGUCGGUCUGACUCAGACGGUCAGGUUUAGGCAAACAGUGAGCGCAGUGGUCAGGGGUGUAGCCCGGGGCCUCAGGAAACCUGUUGGGCCGGGGUCCUCAUCUGUAGAGGGGGAGUGUGGCAGCAACGGCCCCCAUGGGG